rnacentral:rRNA from 1 species
AGCAGUCGCCGCGGUAAUACGUAGGUGGCAAGCGUUGUCCGGAAUUAUUGGGCGUAAAGCGCGCGCAGGUGGUUUAAUAAGUCUGAUGUGAAAGCCCACGGCUCAACCGUGGAGGGUCAUUGGAAACUGUUAAACUUGAGUGCAGGAGAGAAAAGUGGAAUUCCUAGUGUAGCGGUGAAAUGCGUAGAGAUUAGGAGGAACACCAGUGGCGAAGGCGGCUUUUUGGCCUGUAACUGACACUGAGGCGCGAAAGCGUGGGGAGCAAACAGGAUUAGAUACCCGGGUAGUCCCUGUCUCUUAUAC